CCCAUAUUACCUUUAUGUCUAUGUUCUUGUAUUUUAUUUACUCUCACAAAUUAUUUAAAAACCAUGGGCAUAAAUGUAAACAUGAAUCUGGACUUAAUGGGAAAUAAAACAUGGAGCUAAGGGCUUCCAGGUAAAAUGACUAUAAACCUAGGUUUUAAGGAGUGAAGGGUGUCAAAAGCUCCUCCAUUGAUACUGGUGAUAAGAUAUGAAUGAGUGGCUUGGAUAAAAGCCUCUCAUAUGCUAUUGAUCUAAGGCAUCAGGGAUCAAGAUCAAAUCCAUCUUUAUGAUCUAAGAUAAAAGUAACUUAUGGGAUCAAUUAUCCAUAGAGCCUUCCUCGCACAACAUCUUUCACCUAUGGAUGUGACACCCAUUACUUUAAUGCUUGGUUUCACUCUAUUAGAACCACACUCCCAAGAGUGCAAAAAUAUGAGUUCAUAAACACAUGAAUAUAUGAGAGCGGAAAUCAAAAAACCAAGCGGCAAGGCUUUUAAUGGCGAUUUAUUCGGCUACAGAGGUAUAAAGAUGGAGGCAAAUAGGUGGUCCAUUUUAAAACAAUUGAAACUAACGAUCCAAAUGUUUUCUUAAUAGAAUUAUUAUUUCUAAUUUUCUAAUUUUAUUUAUUUUUUCAUAUUCAUGAUCCCAUGUUAAAGAUUACAUAUUCUCUACAACUUAGGAUCUAAUUCUAUUUAAAAAUAAAUUUAUUAAGGCGCUUACAUUUCUACAUGUGCAGGCUUGACUGCAUGCUAACUGCAUCUAUUGUUAUAUAUUUAAAUAUUUUUUGUAUUUUUAUAUUUAUUUUAAUUUUUAUCUACUCCUCUUUUCGCUUUAUGGCUUGGCUCGGCUCGUGAGCUUGGCUAUGAAGAAAGAGGUAAUAAACAGCCUAUUUGAGAGCGAGAAAAUUAGGGGGAAAGAGAUGCCUUAUAACAGUUCAGAUUAUGAAGCAAAGAAUUGGGAUAUGGAAGCCCUAAACUUCUAAAAAUUUGAAGUUUUAUAUUGUUGAGAUAGAAAUGGUUUGCAAAAUGUGUGGAUCUAUGGAGGGUGAGAAUGAAAGUCAGGAUGAGAGAUUAGUGUGGGUAGUUGGCAUAAGGGGGCGAAGAAUUCAGAAAAUGGAAAGAGAAGGGAGCUGACGAGAUUUCGGGAAAUGGGGCAAGAGUCUCGAAAAUUGAAAGAGAACGGAGAUGGAGAGAUUUGGGGAGUGGGGAAGAAGAGAUGAAAGAAAGAGGAGGGCGAUAGAUGAUCAGAAAAGAGAGGGAUACUCGGCUCAUUCAAUUCGGCUCAUUCAUUCAAUUGCUCUCUCUCCCAUUGGAGGGAGGCUUGGGGGUGAAGGAAGUUGGAAUGGGAGGGGUUUAAGCGUGAAGUAGUGGAGGGAGAGAAGCCUUGUCCAAUGACGCGUCUGUGAACUGAACAUUCCACUUGCGAGUGAUGUGGGAGCAACGCUGACUUGCUUCUACGAGAUCGACAACAUUAGGCUGCCUCGUAAUUCCCCCAUUCACCUCAUGACCAUUUGUGUUGUGUGGGUAUGGAAACAAACAAAACCCUAUUCUUAAAUAUUCUCAAUGACCUCUUGAGUUUUACUGUUGCCAGUCAUAGUAAAUAGUUUCUCAGAUAUUUGGAAUUCCAACAAAUUUCUGAAGGUGCUUCUGUUUCCUCUAACCCUACCUCACUUUCACCAAAUCUAGUUAAGCCUACAAGUGUCAGUUAUAAGAUAAGAUAUUCUUACCAUACUUGUAAGAAAUAACCUGAAUUACAACUGAGAAAGAAAGAACAUGCAAUGCACAUAUCGAUUCUCUUAUGUACACAUAGCAAGUUUAGAUGCAUCCUAAUCUCUCAUCGCCAUCUUUUCUUUGUAGAUAAAGUAUUAGAGAUAAAUUUAUGGGAUUUGAGAGUAAGACUGCUCCAUGCAACUGGGUUUGUUGCAUUCCAGCUAAACUCAAACUAAUUCAUGAAACACAGGAAGUGAAUAUAUGAAAUUUUUGCACUAUAUAUGAGGUUCAACAAAGCCUCAACAAGGAUGCACACCCUGAAGAGAUGCCAUGCAUAACAAAAGUCAACUCGUAUUAACAACACCUAUAUUGCAUUUCUCUUGUCUCUUCUGACCCCUCUUUUGGACUGUCUGGAUUUGAUGGUUACAUGAAUUUUACAUCUGUUAAUUCUUCUUUCUAGUUCAUCGCAUGGGUUCUAUCAGAUUUUGGCCUACCUUAGUUCCAGGGUACAACAAGGGUACAUUAAGAACGAAAAAAACAUAAGAAUUAUAUAGACUUGUGAGAUCAAUUUAUGUAUAUGUAAUUUAGAUAUGCUUUACAAUGGUUUGUGAGUUUUUAUUGUCAAAUGUCCUAGUUUUUUUUUUUUUUUUUCUGGAUUUUUUUGGAAUCUCCAACCCUAAACCAUAUUUUGUAAUCCAAUUUGUUAUAUUCUUUUGUACUUAUUUGGAUUCCUUACAUGUUGUUUUUAGUUUUGUUUUGGGUCUAAAUAUUUUAUUUUAUUUAUUAGCAUUUUAAAGAAAUCUUUUUUUUAAGGGGCUUUGGGUCAUGUACAGGCCUAGUCCACUCAGCCUCGCACUUGGCUGAGUUACUCGGGCUGAUUCCAAGGCCCAAGCAAAGUGGAAUAACACUGCUUAGUAUUAACCAUGAAUGUCUGUCACACACACAGACAUGGCCAUGGUGUAAAUAUUCAUACAUGAACCCAUUCAUUUCUUUAACAUUGGGAAAUUUUGGUACCUGAUUUCAGGAGUUUCUUUGAUGAAUUCUUUCAUAGGGGGAUCCUCAACAAAGCUAGCAAUGCGACCUUUAUAGCUCUUGUCCCUAAGAAAGAAGGUGUUGAAGAGCUUAAGGACUAUCGUCCUGUUAGCUUACUCAACUCCUCAUACAAAAUUCUAGUCAAGGUUCUGGCCUCUAUACUCAAGCAGGUCCUUCGACUCAUCAUUUCGCAAUCCCAAUCAGCCUUCAUCCGAGACAGGUUGAUCAUGGAUGGUGUGGUGGUUGCUCAUGAGUCUAUUCACUCUAGGUUUCUCUCUAAGAAACCAGGAUUGAUUUUCAAGAUUGAUUGGGAGAGAGCUUAUGACCACCGACUGGCAUUUACUGGAUGAGAUUAUGGCAAGAAUGAACUUUGGCCCCCCAUGGAGAAAGUGGAUAAGAGGCUGUAUUUCUACCCCCCACUUUUCAGUCCUUAUAAAUGGUAGCCCAAAAGGUUUCUUUGCUGCUUCAAGGGGGCUCCGUCAAGGGGACCCACUCUCUCCCUUUCUCUUUACUAUAGUUGCCGAGGUCUUCCGCAGGUUGAUCUCUCGUCUCUACCAAGAAGGACUUCUCUCGGCUUGUCUCUGUAGCUCACAAGGCCCUAGGGUAUCUCAUUUGCAGUAUGCAGAUGAUACCUUAGUUUCCUUAGAUGCGAUCCACUAGCAAAUUGAGAACCUCGGAAUCUUCCUCAAAUACUUUGAGAAUGCCACUGGCUCCAAAGUAAAUAUGGAAAAAUCUAAGAUGAUGGGAGUGGGUCUCACACCUCAAGAAAUAAAGUCCCUGAUUCCUUCUUGGGACUGCAAAAUAGAGGACCUUCCUACCACCUACUUGGGGAUCCCUUUAGGUUUCGGGAAACCCAAAAAGAGACACUGGGUACAUGUCAUAGAUAGGGUUGAUAGGCGUCUAGCUGGAUGGAAAGAAAGAUUCCUUUCUCUGGCCGGUCAGUCUACGCUGGUUAAGGCAACUUUGGCCAACUCCCCUGUCUACUUAAUGUCCAUUUUCCAUAUGCCAGUGUCGGCGGCUAAGAGAUUGGAUCAAUUGAUGAGAAAUUUUUUGUGGUCAAGGCAAGCUGAAAAAACAAGACACCACCUUAUAUCAUGGGAUAGAGUCCGACUGCCCAAAGCCCAUGGUGGUCUGGGUAUCAGAGAUCUAAGAAAGCAUAAUCAGACCCUUUUAGGGAAGUAGUGGUGGAGAUUGGCCACUCAACCAAAUUCCUUUUGGGCACAGGUUUUUCGAAAGAAAUAUAAAAUUUCGGACCAGUCUUGGGAUCUUGGAAAGCCCUCACGGAGUAGGGCUUCAGGAAUUUGGAAAUCCCUCGCGUCCUCUCUUGCUCAGUUCAAGAAAGUGGUUCGCUUCCAUUCUAAAGACGGGAACAGAGUUCGCUUGUGGUCUGAUCUGUGGAUUGGAAAUGCUCCCCUUAGGGAUCUCUUUCCUGACCAAUAUCAACUUGCUUCCAACAAAGAGUUCGGUAUUGCAGAUGAUAUGGUCUUGGUAGGGGGGCGUAUAUCUUGGAACCCUUCCUUUCGAAGGAACUUAUCCGAAGAGGAAAUUUUACAGUUCUCCACUCUUUCGGCUGCUCUUCACUUGGUGUUCCUAGCUUAUCAGGGAGUGACUCUUUGGUAUGGACACUUUCCUCUUCUGGUAAGUUUUCAGUUGCAUCUUUCUAUAAGCUUCUUACCCAGCCCCCUACCUUCCCGUUGAAUCCCAUCUCUCCCUUCCUCAAGGUGUGGAACACAAUAGCUCCUCCUAAACUUUAGUUUUUCAAUUGGAUCGCUGGCUCUCAUAGUGCCCUAACUCUUGAUCAGAUCCAAAAAAGAGGCCUGCCACUCCCAAACAGAUGUGUAAUGUGUUUGACAGAGGAGUCGUCCAACCCCCACCUCUUCAUGCAUUGCAGUAUGGCUUUUGAGCUUUGGACACUGAUCCUACAAUUGUUUAGUUUCCAUUGGGUCCUCCCACACUCGGUAAAAGACUUAUUUCUUCAUUACUCUGGAGGUCCUUGGAUCAAAGCAGGUAUAACCUUGUGGAGGGCAGCUUUAGCUGCUACAGUAUGGGUUUUAUGGCUUGAAAGAAAUGAUAGGGUCUUUCAAGGGCACACAAAUGAUGUUUCUGGGCUAUUUCAUAAGGUUACAUUCCUUGUAACAUUUGGGCCUCCACCCAUAAGAUCUUUGGUGGGAUUCUUCCGAGUUCUUUCCUCAGGCAUUGUGACAAUAUUAUCUGAAUUCUUUCCUCAGGCAUUGGGACAAUAUUAUCCGAAUUCAGCAUCUCAAUCUUCGGAGACCUCACAACUGGUUACCUCCUCCAGUUACAGCCAUUAAGCUAAACUUUGAUGGUUGUUCUUUAGGAAACCUAGGCCCUUCAGGAGUAGGGGGAGUUUUCCGUGACCACAACAGAAACGUUCUUUGGACAUACUCAGAAUUUGUUGGACAUGGAGACUCACAAUUCGCUGAAGCCUUGACACUUCUUGUGGGCCUAAGACUCUUUAAUCCCUCAUGGGGUCAAUCCUUAGUGGUGGAAGGAGACGCCAAAAACAGUCUUUCAUGGGCAGCAGGCACCACCACCCCUCCCUGGUACCUUUCUUGAAUUUUUGAUGAAAUUUACCACCUUUGCAGGCAUACCAACGUUUGUUGGAGACAUACUUGACGGAUGUCGAACGAGUUCACCGAUCUUCUCACUAAAGAUGGCGCGUGACGGAGACCAAACUUGGACGACAAUGAAUGGUCCACCUCCUUUUUUGCACUGGACCUUCGAGAUCUCCAAGGACACUAGUUUGUUUGGUUGUACAUUUUUGUAAAAGGGCGAGCUUAUAAGCCCAAUUUUUUGUGUAUCCUCUCUUUUGGUAACAGCAGCUGCAAAAUGUUAUAGAUUGUAUAGGUUUUUUGGAUGUUUUUAGACUGAGAAACCUGUCUCGAAGGUUUUCUCGGUCCUCUCUUCCCUCCUUCUGAUGUAUACUUUUUUUAUAGUAAUACAAGGUUAACAUUAUAAAAAAAAAAACGUUGGAAAAUUUUGGUAGUUUACUUAUGAAUAUUAUUUUUAAUAGAUUUUUCACAUAAAACAGCGUAGAGGCUUGUGGACAAAUGAGGCAUGUGAUGAUUUUUUAUUUUUUUCUUAUCUAGAACUUGAGAAGAGCUUGAGGGAAUUUGGGAUCUGAUUUGGUAACAGAUGGAGAGCCUAUGCUUGGAUGGUUUCUGACCUUUGCAUAUCUAUAUCAUCUGUAGUCCACUCUACCUUGUACUUGGUCGAGUUACUUGCUCAGGCAAGAGCCGAGUCCAAGGCCCAAGCAAAGUGUUAUAACAUCGCUUAGUAUUAACCAUGAAUGUUUGUCAUACAUGAACCCAUUCUUUUCUUUAACAUUGGGAAAUUGUGGUAGUUUCCUCAUGGAAUAUUAUUUUUAAUAGAUUUUUCACAUAACACAACAUAAAAGCUUAUGGACAAAUGAGGCAUGUGAUGAACUUUUUUUUUUUUUUAACAAACUUGUUUAAACAUCUAUCUGUCCACCAUUAGGGACCAUUGUUUGGUGAAUCAUGCUCCAGAUCACCAUAAUCUUGUCCACCCUAUUGUGGUUCAUGAUCCUGAGGGGUGGACUACUGUUGUGUACCACUCAUCCAACAAUUAUGGGCUGCCCGAUCUACGGGGAUAGGAUUCUCCCUUCUGUACACCUCUCCUAGGAUCCCUCCCCAACCCUUGCCACGUACCGAGCUUCCUUUUCCUGUCCCCGGGCCCUGCCACCUGGCCUUGUUGCUGAUGCAGCCCACCCAUACCUUGGCUCCGCCUAAUACUAUAUUCAUGGGAAUUUUUUUAUACACCCAUUGUAUCCUGAUUUAGUGAUUCUUGCCACUUUAGAUACUUAGUUGCGUAUUACCACACCAGCCAUUUUGCAUUUCUUGAUGCUUGUUGAUGGUGAGUUGCCGUCCUUAAGGUCAUAUAUGGCUUCUACAAUUUUUUACCUCAGCAAUGAACCUUGAGUAUCGCGAAAGAAAAGAUGUACUAUUAGCUACAAAUACAUAUUGGGAUCCAUCAUGGAGAUUAUUAGUGUUCUCUUCCCAACAACUUAUCAAAUGCCACAUAAGCCUCCCUUGUUUACAUAAUGCAAUGAGAUGUACAAAGUAGAUGCAACUUCUGUAAACUUCGACUUUGAUUUAAUAUGGAUGGUUUAAAACAAGGACUGGGUUUAGUUAACAUGCCCAAGUCCAGAAACUUGGACUCUGCUAAGUCUGUUAGACUCAGCUGAGUCCAAAAAUUAAGAAUAAAAUAUUGGGGACCAGCAAGAGCAGCAAUAUAACUUAAAAGAUGCCAUAGUUAAGACUCCAUAUUACUAUUUUAUUAUUGUACUAAUAAUAAAUUAUU